rnacentral:lncRNA from 1 species
UUCUUUAAAAAUCGUCCUAAGCGUGUAUUUUACGUAAGCGAGCAAAUAUGGAGUUUGUUCCUAUUAGAGCAUAACAAAAAAAUAUCACAAGUGAAUUCUUUAUUUUUUGAAAUUUUUUAUUUUUAUUUUUUUUUUAAAUUAAUAUCCCCAAGUCGCCUCACACCGGACCCAAUAGCUCAGAGCAUGGACAUCAUCAUCAUCAGGAGUCUAAGCAUCCCUCUAUGUUUUCUAUCUACUCUCUGUCGAUCUCCAGGUAACAAUUUCUCAAUUGCUCUCGUGUUUUCUCGCUCUGUAAGUCCUAGUUUUUUUUUUCCUCUGCAGCUUCUAGUGCUUUUUUAUUUGUUUUUUUCUCCACUUAUUUGAUACACAAGCCCAUGAAUCCUUGCUGCUCUUUUGUUGAAACCCCUCUAAUGGGUUUGUGAAAGUGGGGGUCUUUAUUUGCUUGGUAAUUGGUGUGUAGUUCAACUAUGGCGUUGAUUUGAGGAUAUUUUGAAGAUCUAGUGAAGAUUCAUAAAAAAUUUCUGGUAAUUUUUAUUUGUAGCUUCUUGUUUUGGUGGAGGGUAUUCGUCCUUUUUGUGAUUUAUUUUGUGGGUGUCAGCCAAAUCACAAUUUUGCCCAAUUACAAGCUCCAUUUCCUCUGUAUUUUUCCUAACAUUUCUCUCUGUGUUGGGUUCCUUGCUCUGUUUUUUAUUCAUGGGUAUUGUUUGCAGUUGUUCUUUGUUACAAUUAGAUAGAUAUGCUUUAGAGCUGAGUUUGAGUCCGAUCCCGGGGUCUUUUCAUUAGGCAUGUAAUUCUUGGAUUGAUCAUAACCGUUAGUUAACAUCUGUAAGACGGUCCAUUUUCAGUGCCUACCCUCUACUUGUAAUAAAGAGAAGAGAGAUAUAUGUGGCUUUAAAGCUCACUUUAAAUUUACAACAUGCCUGUAAGGUAUUUGAUAAAAUCGCCAUGAAAAACCGGUUUUUUAAUUUAUUAGGAACAGGGUAAAUAUUAGGUAUGCAUGCAUGGUAAGUCGUUUGAUGAAAUUGUUUGCCAAACAAUAAAAAAUACUGAAUUUAUAAAGUUUCUGAAAUAUGAGUUGACAAUCAAAGAGACACAAGAAAAACAUACGAGGAUAAUGUUUUGGUGCAUUUUUGGAUCAUCCAGAAAUAAAGUACAACCUAAAUACAAUGUCAAGAUAGAGGCCAGCUGCAUGCCAACCCAAACAUGGCACAAACCCGUGGGAACGGGCAAAAUUGGCCGCACCCACACUCAAAAAUGAGACAAAGGCUUGGGGAUGGACAUCAAGAACUCCGAUGAUCCACAAGCUACAUGAGCCUAAUCACCGAUCAAUCAGGCGGCAAACAUGCGAUAUAAAGCAGACUGUCAGCAUUUCAAAUACUCAAAUACCUAUAAAAAACCUGUUAAACUGUAUCCGAAUGGAACUGAACAUGGACGGUUACGCUAAAAAUUGGAGUAAGCUAGACUGUUUGUCACUUGAAGAGCUUUCCAACAAUCCAAGUUUUGUCUCAAUCAGAGUUAUGGUUAGCAACAUGCCAAAUAUAAUUGCAGGCUAGACUGCUUGUGGCUAACAGUUCUCCAUAUGCGGAUAUAUCAUGCCCCCUUGCUGCUGAAUAUUGCUGCAUGCAAGUUUAGCACAGACACAUUCGGUUAAACCAUAGCCACAUGCGGCCUGAUUUUAGCUCGGUGCAGUCUCACCACAUGGGGACCUCGAGAGAUGAUAAUUUUGUCUACACAAACCCAAUUUGAUCAUUAAAUCUUAGUUGUCUGUUCAAAAUCUUAUAUACCUUACUUCUUUUUUAUAAAGGAAAAAGUUUAUAUAAGGGCUUAAACAAUCAAAUUAAAGCGCACAUCAAAAAUUCACUAAAAGAGGUUGCUUAGAUGAUAAAAAACCCUCAAUUUGAUCAUCUCGAUCUCAAGAUGCAUGGACAUGAGAGAAAAUAGAUUUCAAGUCUUGAAAAUAGUGUAUCUUUUAAUGUAUUAUUUAGACCGUCAAUUUUCAAGAUUUUCAAGUGUUCAUAAAUCUGCUUAUUCGGCACAAUUUUUUAUUCUUUAAAUUUUUUAACUAGAGAUAAAAAUAAAUUUUUAGGCCAUCAUAAAGCUUUUUUUAUAUUGAAACAACAUGUUUUGGCACUACUUGAAGGUGCGUCUUACUUUAAUUGUUUAGGGCAUCAGCCUUGUACAAACUCCUCUCAGCCUUCAUUCAAUAUAGUUAAGGAAAAUUGAAACCAGGGAUUCUAUCCUAGAGAGAGAAAGCCUCGGAUAUAUGGAGGAGAUGAUAUUGUUCAAAGUUGCUGGUCUAACACACAGAUUCAUGGAUAUUUUGGUUUCAGAGUGUCAAAAAACUUUUAAUUUGAAACAUAAGCCGAUUCAAUAGAAGAGGAAUAGUAAAUAUUUUCUCCAAAAAAUUGUAUCAAGACUCUUCUUAGGAAAUGCCAGGAACCUGAUAGAUCGGAACAAAAGAGAAUAUAGCCCUGAAUAACCAUCAGGGUUUAGAACUACAUUCCGAUACACAAGUAUUUAAAAAUUGAGGGGAUUUAUUGGAGACAAAGAUCAAUAGCAAAAUAGCUAAAAAAUGAGGGGCCUAAAUACAAAUUUUUUUUCACUCUAUUAUAAAUGCUAGAAGUACAAUGAGCUAAAAAAUGAGGGGCCUAAAUACAAAUUUUUUUUCACUCUAUUAUAAAUGCUAGAAGGGCAAUGAAUAGUUUUAAUGGAUUACAUAAUCAUGGUGGAGUUAGAUGAUGAGGAGGUUUGGAAAAAAGCUAUUAUUAAUUUUUCCAAUGAAGCGUUCACCGAUGAGCAGAGGCCAAAAAUUAACCUUAGACGUGUACCAUUUAAAACGUUCCCUCUAACAAAUCCAGAUCAUUUAGAACUUCUUCUCUGUGAAAGUGAUAUAGAAGAGAUAGUUUUCUCUUUGGUGGGUAUAAAGCUCCUGGACUUAGUGGUUUUUCCUUGGCUUUUCUGCAGCUGUGAGUAUUAUUUUAUUUUGAUGGUUGGGGAGUUUUAAAAGUUCGCCUCGCCUUCAAUGAAACUCUGUGUUUUGACGGACUCCGACAUGAUAGUUACUCCUUGAGGAUGAGUCUAUCUUCCCGCAUCAAAGAGUAGCCAUGAGCAUCAGAGCCAACCAACACACAUGGGAGAGAGAGGUACACAAUAGAUGAAGAAAAACUUGUAUUCACUAAUCCGCAAAUGCUUAUAACUCUCUGAGUUACCCCGCAUAUAAAAUGUCUUCUUCCUGGUGUCGGCAAUUUGAUUUACAAUGAAUGGUCUAGAUUUGUACAAGUGAUGAUAAUCCAAAAGCCAGGAAAACUCUAGUCAUUCAAGAAAGAUCUUCUUCUACAAUGUCUUCCUGAGGAUAAAUCAUUAAGUCUUUUUGGACUUCCUUUGACUUCUCUAGAUUUUUCUAGAACUUUCUAGACAAUUAUGAUGAAUUUAGAACCUUCUAGACAAUUAUGAUAAAAAAUACCAGACUAUGUAUAAUAUAUGUACAAAGUUUUGUAGGGAUACCUCACAAAUUAGUUGGGUCUAACAUUCUCUGACAACUAAUUGGGCAUGUUGCACUUUCUUCAUGACACUCCCUGAUCAACUUCUUAGGCACAUACAUCCACUCCAUGAUUCGAACCAUCAAGUUUUUCCCUUAAGUACCACCUCAACUGAAUCCUUUGACAAGAGCUCAUGCUACGGUCCUUCCUUUUUUACCUUGUCACGAACCAGCCCUUGGAGUUGGCAAACAGACGCCAUGAAUUCUAGUUUGUUGCUGCUUGCUUUCUUUAUCCAAUGGGAAAAGUUUAUAUACAACCUAGGAUCUAAAUAAUCAAAUUAGAGCCUACAUCAAAAUUUUCACUAGGAGAUGUUGUUUUGAUGCCCGAAUGUUAUCAAAUUGAUCUUCUUGACAUCAGUAUGCAUUGACAUGAGAAAAAAGUGGAUUUCAAAUUUUGAAAAUAGUGUACUUGUAACGUAUUUUUGGACCG